AUUGAACGCUGGCGGCAUGCUUUACACAUGCAAGUCGAACGGCAGCGCGGGCUUCGGCCUGGCGGCGAGUGGCGAACGGGUGAGUAAUACAUCGGAACGUGUCCAGUAGUGGGGGAUAGCUCGGCGAAAGCCGGAUUAAUACCGCAUACGACCUGAGGGUGAAAGCGGGGGAUCUUCGGACCUCGCGCUAUUGGAGCGGCCGAUGGCAGAUUAGCUAGUUGGUGGGGUAAAGGCCUACCAAGGCGACGAUCUGUAGCUGGUCUGAGAGGACGACCAGCCACACUGGGACUGAGACACGGCCCAGACUCCUACGGGAGGCAGCAGUGGGGAAUUUUGGACAAUGGGCGAAAGCCUGAUCCAGCAAUGCCGCGUGUGUGAUGAGGGCCUUCGGGUUGUAAAGCACUUUUGGCGGGAACGAAAAGGACUGUGCCAAUACCACGGUUCGAUGACGGUACCCGCAGAAUAAGCACCGGCUAACUACGUG
rnacentral:rRNA from 1 species